rnacentral:piRNA from 1 species
UAAUUUUCUUUUGCUGUGAUAAAAUAUCA